UACAUGGGGUGCAAACGUUGCUCGGAAUUAUUGGGCGUAAAGCGCACGUAGGCGGUUCGUUAAGUCGGAUGUGAAAGCCCUCGGCUCAACUGAGGAAGUGCACCCGAAACUGGCGAGCUUGAGUACGAAAGAGGAUCGCGGAAUUCCCGGUGUAGAGGUGAAAUUCGUAGAUAUUCGCAAGAACACCAGUGGCGAAGGCGGCUCACUGGCCCGAUACUGACGCUGAGGAGCGAAAGCGUGGGGAGCGAACAGG
rnacentral:rRNA from 1 species